UAGUCAUAUGCUUGUCUCAAAGAUUAAGCCAUGCAUGUCUAAGUAUAAGCAAUCUAUACAGUGAAACUGCGAAUGGCUCAUUAAAUCAGUUAUCGUUUAUUUGAUAGUACCUUACUACAUGGAUAACCGUGGUAAUUCUAGAGCUAAUACAUGCUAAAAAUCCCGACCUCUGGAAGGGAUGUAUUUAUUAGAUAAAAAACCAAUGGCUUCGGCCUCCUUGGUGAUUCAUGAUAACUUUACGAAUCGCAUGGCCUUGUGCCGGCGAUGGUUCAUUCAAAUUUCUGCCCUAUCAACUUUCGAUGGUAGGAUAGUGGCCUACCAUGGUUUCAACGGGUAACGGGGAAUUAGGGUUCUAUUCCGGAGAGGGAGCCUGAGAAACGGCUACCACAUCCAAGGAAGGCAGCAGGCGCGCAAAUUACCCAAUCCCGACACGGGGAGGUAGUGACAAUAAAUACUGAUACAGGGCCCUUUCGGGUCUUGUAAUCGGAAUGAGUACAAUUUAAAUCCCUUAACGAGGAACAAUU
rnacentral:rRNA from 1 species